AUUAAAUGUCUCCCCCAGCACCUCCUCUCCUCAUCCUCCAAAGCCUCUAAUCUGGCAGCAGUCAGGUCUCUUUCCAAGUCACAAGGCCCUUCUCAUCCCACACUGACACCAUGCUGGGGACCCUCUGCACUCUCAUCACUGCUCUCACAUGUGUGAGUGGUGUGACGGUGGUGACACAGAAGCCUGUUGUAGCCGUGACGACAGGAGAGACAGUCUCCAUAGACUGUAACCUCGGGACUGUUACUGACCGUGGUGCUUGGUGGUAUAAACAGAUUCCAGGAGGAGUUCCUCAGUUUGUAUUAUAUUUUCGUCACGACUGGAGUGUUCCAAACUAUGGCACCGGUUUCUCAUCUCCAAAGUUCACAUCCACUCAUCAGUCAACUUCAGAUUAUCGUUUCACCAUAAAGAACAUCGAGGAGGGAGACUCAGCCGUCUAUUACUGUCACACAUGGGACGACUCUGUUAAAGAGUACGUAUCACAGUGAUUUACACUGUGACAAAA